AUUGAACGCUGGCGGCAUGCUUUACACAUGCAAGUCGAACGGUAACAGGCCUUCGGGUGCUGACGAGUGGCGAACGGGUGAGUAAUGCAUCGGAACGUACCCAGAGGUGGGGGAUAACGCAGCGAAAGCUGUGCUAAUACCGCAUGUGAUCUGAGGAUGAAAGCGGGGGACCGAGCAGCAAUGUUUGGCCUCGCGCCUUUGGAGCGGCCGAUGUCGGAUUAGCUAGUUGGUGGGGUAAAGGCCUACCAAGGCGACGAUCCGUAGCUGGUCUGAGAGGACGACCAGCCACACUGGGACUGAGACACGGCCCAGACUCCUACGGGAGGCAGCAAUGGGGAAUUUUGGACAAUGGGCGCAAGCCUGAUCCAGCAAUGCCGCGUGCGGGAAGAAGGCCUUCGGGUUGUAAACCGCUUUUGGCAGGAACGAAACGGUGUCCGCUAAUACCGGGCGCUAAUGACGGUACCUGCAGAAUAAGCACCGGCUGACUACGUG
rnacentral:rRNA from 1 species